rnacentral:rRNA from 1 species
UACAGAGGGGGCAAGCGUUGUUCGGAAUUACUGGGCGUAAAGGGCGCGUAGGCGGCCUUCUAAGUCGAACGUGAAAUCCCCGGGCUCAACCCGGGAACUGCGUCCGAUACUGGGGGGCUUGAAUCCGGGAGAGGGAUGUGGAAUUCCAGGUGUAGCGGUGAAAUGCGUAGAUAUCUGGAGGAACACCAAUGGCGAAGGCAGAUCUCUGGGCCGUAACUGACGCUGAGGAGCGAAAGCAUGGGGAGCGAACAGG